CCUACGGGAGGCAGCAGUGGGGAAUUUUGCGCAAUGCUCGUAAGAGUGACGCAGCGACGCCGCGUGAAUGACGAAGGCCUUCGGGUCGUAAAGUUCUUUCGACAGGGAAGAAAAUGCCUAUAAGUAACUGUGUAUGUAUUGACGGUACCUGUAUAAGCAGCCCCGGCUAACUCCGUGCCAGCAGCCGCGGUAAUACGGAGGGGGCGAGCGUUGUUCGGAGGGACUGGGCGUAAAGAGCACGUAGGCGGUGUUGUAAGUCAUUAGUCAAAGACUAGAGCUCAACUUUAGUAAGGCUAGUGAUACUAUAAUACUAGAGUAUCAGAGAGGAUUGCAGAAUGCCUGGUGUAGCGGUGAAAUGCGUAGAUAUCAGGAGGAAUACCGUUAGCGAAGGCGGCAAUCUGGCUGGAAACUGACGCUGAGGUGCGAAAGCGUGGGUAGCAAACAGGAUUAGAUACCCCUGUAGUC
rnacentral:rRNA from 1 species